rnacentral:rRNA from 1 species
UGGGGAAUAUUGGACAAUGGGCGAAAGCCUGAUCCAGCCAUGCCGCGUGUGUGAAGAAGGCCUUUUGGUUGUAAAGCACUUUAAGCGAGGAGGAGGCUACUUGGAUUAAUACUCUAGGAUAGUGGACGUUACUCGCAGAAUAAGCACCGGCUAACUCUGUGCCAGCAGCCGCGGUAAUACAGAGGGUGCGAGCGUUAAUCGGAUUUACUGGGCGUAAAGCGUGCGUAGGCGGCUUUUUAAGUCGGAUGUGAAAUCCCUGAGCUUAACUUAGGAAUUGAAUUCGAUACUGGGAAGCUAGAGUAUGGGAGAGGAUGGUAGAAUUCCAGGUGUAGCGGUGAAAUGCGUAGAGAUCUGGAGGAAUACCGAUGGCGAAGGCAGCCAUCUGGCCUAAUACUGACGCUGAGGUACGAAAGCAUGGGGAGCAAACAGG